rnacentral:rRNA from 1 species
UACGAAGGGGGCUAGCGUUGCUCGGAAUUAUUGGGCGUAAAGCGCGCGCAGGCGGUCCUUUAAGUCUGAUGUGAAAGCCCACGGCUCAACCGUGGAGGGUCAUUGGAAACUGGGGGACUUGAGUGCGGGAGAGAAGAGUGGAAUUCCACGUGUAGCGGUGAAAUGCGUAGAGAUGUGGAGGAACACCAGUGGCGAAGGCGGCUAUCUGGACGGUUUCUGACGCUAAGACGCGAAAGCGUGGGGAGCAAACAGG